CCUACGGGAGGCAGCAGUGAGGAAUAUUGGUCAAUGGACGAGAGUCUGAACCAGCCAAGUAGCGUGAAGGAUGACUGCCCUAUGGGUUGUAAACUUCUUUUAUACGGGAAUAAAACGUUCCACGUGUGUGAUUCUGUAUGUACCAUACGAAUAAGGAUCGGCUAACUCCGUGCCAGCAGCCGCGGUAAUACGGAGGAUCCAAGCGUUAUCCGGAUUUAUUGGGUUUAAAGGGUGCGUAGGUGGAUUGUUAAGUCAGUUGUGAAAGUUCGCGGCUUAACCGGAGAAUUGCAGUUAAUACUGGCAGUCUAGAGUACAGUAGAGGUGGGCGGAAUUCGUGGUGUAGCGGUGAAAUGCUUAGAGAUCACACAGAACUCCGAUUGCGAAGGCAGCUCACUGGACUGCAGCUGACGCUGAGGCUCGAAAGUGUGGGUAUCAAACAGGAUUAGAUACCCCUGUAGUC
rnacentral:rRNA from 1 species